rnacentral:rRNA from 1 species
AGAGUUUGAUCAUGGCUCAGAUUGAACGCUGGCGGCAUGCUUUACACAUGCAAGUCGAGCGGCAGCGCGGGGGCAACCCUGGCGGCGAGCGGCGGACGGGUGAGUAAUGCAUCGGAACGUAUCCCGUAGUGGGGGACAACCCAGCGAAAGCUGGGCUAAUACCGCAUAUGCUCUACGGAGGAAAGCAGGGGACUCGCAAGGGCCUUGUGCUAUGGGAGCGGCCGAUGUCCGAUUAGCUAGUUGGUGGGGUAAAGGCUUACCAAGGCGACGAUCGGUAGCUGGUCUGAGAGGAUGAUCAGCCACACUGGGACUGAGACACGGCCCAGACUCCUACGGGAGGCAGCAGUGGGGAAUUUUGGACAAUGGGGGCAACCCUGAUCCAGCCAUGCCGCGUGCGGGAAGAAGGCCUUCGGGUUGUAAACCGCUUUUGGUCGGGAAGAAAAGGCAUCCCCUAAUACGGGGUGCUAUUGACGGUACCGGCAGAAUAAGCACCGGCUAACUACGUGCCAGCAGCCGCGGUA